CCAUGCCGCGUGAGUGAAGAAGGCCUUCGGGUUGUAAAGCUCUUUCGGCGGGGACGAAAAAGGUCCGUGAUAACACCACGGAUCCAUGACGGUACCCGCAGAAGAAGCACCGGCUAACUACGUGCCAGCAACGUCGGUGACUGAGCGGGCUGGCAAGGCGCAUA
rnacentral:rRNA from 1 species